CUGGCUGUAUCUGCUUGUGGAAGGAGAGUCCCUGCCCAGCACUGCAGUCACUGCCUGCACCAUGGAGUUUUGCCUCUUUCCUGUGGACAAAUCUGAGUCUGGUGCUCCCCAACAUGAGAAGGAGUUGAUUUCUAAGGAUUUACCUGGCCCCACACAGCCCUUCCCUGUGCUGAUGAGGGGACUCAUCAAUGCUCAGGACUCAUCGAUGCUGCAGCAUCAACCAAGGCUUUCUACAGCUUCAAUAAAGGCUGGAACCAAAAGACGGAGCUGCUUAAGGUUGGAACCCAAAAUGGUGGAGCUGUUCCAGCAUGAAAAGCACGGCGCUAAAUCCAUGGGAAGGGGUGGAAGUUGAGUGUGGCACCGUCUCUGCUGAACUACAGAAACUUUCUGCAAUGAAUUGCUCAAUCACUUCAUUUGGAAGAAGAGCAACUGCUAUCAGCUCUAAUUGGCUCACAGAACCCAGGGUGGAGUGGCCCUGUGGGAGCAGCAGCUGCUGCCUCAGUCGGAGAUGUCUUCAUGACUUGCGGGGCAAGUUUGUCAGAGCUCUCCUUUCACAGCUAAAGGUUAAUAAAGGCUCAUGUGGCUGUGCAGAACCACUGGAAGGACAAUCAUGGCACAGACUCUGAGGAAUGAGAACCUCCUGAAGGGUGCCACUUUCAUUUUGAUGGGUGCAUUGGGCUUUAAGAGAGCAGAGACAUGGAUAUGUGAAAUGCAACAAUUAAUUUACUAUUAAUUAGGUUAUUUACUAUUAUGAUUUUAUUAUUUUAUAUUUUUAUUUUAUUAUUUUAUAUUAUUGUAUUUUAUUAUUUUAUAUUAUUGUAUUUUAUUAUUUUAUAUUAUUGUUUUAUAUUAUUUAAUAUAUCACUACACAUUAUUAUAUUAUUAAUAUAUUAUAACUUCCUUAAGGGUGCCACUUUCAUUUUGAUGGGUGCAUUGGGCUUUAAGAGAGCAGAGACAUGG
rnacentral:lncRNA from 1 species